CAGGUGAGACAGAGGUGUGUCAUGUAAGACAGGUGAGACAGAGGUUUAUCAGGUGAGACACAGGUUUAUCAGGUGACAGAGGUGUGUCAGGUAAGACAGGUGAGACAGAGGUGUGUCAGGUACGACAGGUGAGACAGAGGUGAGACAGAGGUGUGUCAG